ACUACAGUGUUUCCCGCUUUAUCAUAAAGAAGCUAGAGGGCACAUGCAACAGGCACAUACAACCUGCUAUUACAGAAAUCUAAGCUGCCAGUCUGCAAAGACAUCUGGUGACGAAAUAAAGUUGGGGCAGGAAAUCACUGCUAUGAAGCGGCUGAAAGGAGAAAGCUUCCCCUCUGUGCCUGAUGUGACUACAACUGUAUGUUGAUAAACUCUGGCCUUGGUUUGUAUAAAGAACAGAAACAUUUAUAUAGUGAGGAUCUGUUACCAUCUUCUGUGUUCUCUGAAAAUGACCGGCCCAUCACAAACGGCAGGGAGAAGGUUCAGAGACUGCAGCCACACUCCCCUCCUUCUUGGCCCAUCUCCAGUCCCCAAAUGCAGUUCUCGGAUGCUGUACCAGGACUAUGUCAUACUUUUCCAAAGCCAGGUAAACAGCAGUGACAGCUUCCAGAAGGAUCAAGAGGUCAGUCUGUGAGAUAAGUGAUACUGUACCCAGAGUCUACGAUGGAACUAGACAGACAUACGGGUAUACAUGAGUGAGAAGCAGUAGAAUAAGGCAACUGUUGUUAUGGACUCUGUUCCUGGCCUAAAGAGCAGCAUGGAAGCAAAAGCAACACUGUAAGACCGCGAGAAAAUAUGUCACAAGUGGAACAGCUGUGGGAAGAAGUCUUCAAUGGGCUUGUAAAUGGAGCUGUGAAGAAAGAAUGGUUUAAACUUAAUCCAAACUAAUAUGGUCCGGGCGAGUGACCCAGAGAGAAGCAGCUGAAGCAGCAAAGCCACCCAGCAGCAUGUGAGGUCUGUCCAACAUCGGGCACAGCACCACACACGAGGCUAAUUGCUGUAGGACCAGAAACGGCAGGAGAUAAAAAACACAGAAGUGAUGAACUGUUGGUUGACCGUUCGCAAAAUCAACAGCGUGAGGAUGAAGUCUGAGUGCCGGGGUAUCACCGGCCAUAAGAGCUCUACCUCGCAAAAUGAAGGUCUGACUGUAGCAUGUUAACCUGUCUUAACUGGCAGAGGUGACAUUAGCAGUGAGGACGCAGCAGCACCGUCUAGCAACCAGCUUAUGAAGUCUCUAGAGACCUUGUGGAUAUAUCUCAAGAUCAGAAAUACCAUGGAUCAACAUUUCUCAUGGAAUAGCUCUAUUUUUGACUCAGUAGCAUGUGAGCAGAAGCUGGACAUGACAUAGAAUGCAAGAGAAAAUCAAAUAUGGACAAGAAGAAAUCUUUCUGUACCCAUUUAUGGAGUGGCCAUUUGUCAGCAUCUGGACUGCUGCUCAUUUAACUUUGAAUGUAAAGUCUUGACAUCAGAAGUGCUGACUCAUGAAACGGCAAGGAAGGACAAUUUUGGUUUCUGCUACGGCGGUUGAAUUUGCUUGGAUUUACCCCAGCGUGGCUUCUCCUGCCCUCCUCGCUCCAGCCCGUGCCCCACGUCUGGCCUCCGCGGAGCUGAACCUGCUGCUGGGAAAGAGCACCAAGGAUGGAUGCUGACAGCGGCUGAGAAACAUUUGGCAGAGCUCAAGAAAAGAAGUACAAAGGUGACAGUCUCCUUUACCAGCAACUGGGGCCAGUCCAGUAUGCACCGCCUGCCAGCAGCCCCAACUGUGCUAGGACAGCCAGCCCCUCCUCGUCUUCGGAUUCAUCUGGACUUGAAAGGCACAACUGAAGCACCGUUAUAAGAUGAACAAGGAGACGUCUACCUCAAAAAGCCAGAAAUAGUCGAUAUCCACUUGACUGACGUGGCCAUUUGAGAUGGUGGAAAGAAGCACAGCGGGAACCUAUGGUGACCAGACAUCGAGCCAGGCAGAGGGGCUGGACCACUGGUGUGAAGCCCCACAUGAGGCCCAGGCUCUUUGGACCAUGCAUGGUGAAGAACAGGCUGCCAAAAAGGGCAAGCUCUAUAACCUUGCCCCUCUUGAGGUCCUGGCAUUAACAAGCUGGAACCAUCAAGAGUGGGCUUCUGCUUCAACUUCUGCUCGUCCUCUUCACCUCAGCUGUCCAGACCUGCACUUUUAAAAUGCAGACCUUGAUAUGAGAGCACUGGUCCAGAAAGUGACUGACAUCUGUACAAGUCCCUCCUCAUUCCGGAAAGAUCCAAACUGUUAUCCCCAGGAGGGCAACCAAACCCAGGUAACACCCAAACUAUGACCAGCCUUUCAGCUAAAUUUCUUUUUAUUUUUUAAAUAAAUUUACCCUUGAAAAGAACAUUCUUCUAACAAACAUCUGUCUCCAGGUUUUGCUUGGGCUGGGUGGACGUCUUCAGAGAGCAGCCUUGCUUUGUAGAGCAGCUUUUUGUUGAAAGGGCAGAUCUGGCUGUAUGUCUUCUGAGGCUCCAGAGGAGCUGAGGAUGUGUUGUCCCCCAUCCCCAUGCCUUCUGGUCUGUGUUGUCCCAGAGGAGCAGGGCUGUUAUUCAGAGACCUCUUUAUUCAAAAAAUAUGUUUUCAAUUAGUGUUUUUAACACUCGAGAAGCCGCCCUAAUACCAAUGUGACAUAAGUUUACAUAGCAAGCUGUUAGCAAUGUAGGAAAUAUAUGUACCUUCACCAUUAAAACCUCAGUUCACACUUAGAUUUCUGCCAUCUAUGUUUUUCCUUUUCUGAAGCAUUUAUAGAUCUCUAAUAUACCCCAUUUCACCUUGCAUAUCCUUCUUACAAAAAUAUUGAUAAAAAUUUAAAACUCCUUAAUAGGAGGAAGAUUUUUUUUGUUAAAACACUUCUCAGCUUGAUAAAUAAUGAGGUAUUUUGGUUGGAUUUAAAAUUACUGUUUCCAAAAAUUUUACCAGUUAUCCUGGUGACAUUGUUACUGUAUUAACCUUUCCAUUCUCUCUCUGGCUUCUUAUACUGUCAGAUAUUAUCAGAGUAGCUAAGCAUCUCACGCAUAAAAUCAAUAGCAAAAGUAAAAUCUCUACAGGGGUUCAUAGUCUCUGGCAAUGCUCCCUUUUCACUGGUAAAAAUUUUGCUUGAGUCAGGGCUUUUUGUUUGAUUUUGAAGGGUGAAGGGGGAAAAUGUUUAAGAACAAACGUGAUACUUGAAUUCUGUGAGCUGCACCUGUGACAAGAAGACUUCUUAGAGGUCCUGGUGGCCACUCCUGAAGACAGCUGCCCCAGGGUCACCUCGUGCCUGGUGAGGUGGGCAUCCACAUGCCCAUACCCAUUGUCUGAGGUGACAUGGGUCAAGGUAAGAACACAGCCGACCACAGGCUCUGCUUUUGUACAGAUGGUGUCAGGGUCUGCAACUGGGCUGGGUGGCCUUCGCACCACAUGGUUCCCAGUGGUCCCAGGGAUGCUGUAGCCAAGAGGGUCAGCAUAACCCCUUGUUUGAACCACUGACUUCACCUUCCACAUCUUCCCCUGAAACUUUAGAUUUCAGUUGAAUAGGACACUUCUAUUUGUUUUUAAACCACUCUCUUGAUGUCUUGAUUCGCCUCCUCCACACAUUUUUGCCAUGUUUUUCUCUUCAGGAGUCUCUUUUUCAGGAUAAGUAGAUGCUAUUUAGUUUCUCCUCAUAUGGAAGCUCUUCCAUGUUUUGGAUCAUUCUCAUUUCUCUUGUCUAAAACCUACCGUUGUCCCCUUUUUUACAUCAAGAGACCAGGAGUGCAAUGAAUUACCUCAGAUAUGGAUGCACCAAGGGUUUAAGCAAUGACACAAUGGUGUUUUCUGUUAUCUUUUUUUCAUCCCUCUGUGCACAGUGAUACUGAUGAAAACCCCUUAAUAAUGUCACCAACGUCAUUGUGGAGUUUUCUUUUGUAUUGUCAUUUGUGUUGCAUUUUAGAAAAGAAUAAGUAUUUUUAGUAACAUGUGAAGCAUAAAAGCAGGUGCUGCAUUUUUCAGUUUCACAAUUUAACCCAAAUGGCUUUCUGUGUCAUUAGCUUCAUGCAGUCCUGCUGAAAAGAACUAUAAACUACAAUCUAGGCUAGUUUUUUUCCACAUAAUAUUUCCAGCAGCAGCAUAUGUGCUUGUCGUGUAGUUGGGGCUGAUCCAAGCUGUAGAAGUGCAGUGGAUGGGGUCGUGCCCACAGUUACCCUGCAGUGCUGGGCUCACAAGAAGAGCACCCCAGUGGGGAAAAUGUGAUAGAAAAUGUCUCCUGGAGGUCCCCUGCUCCUCACAGCAUGUACCCAGUGCUUUGGCCUGGCCUCAUCCUGACUCCAAGAGGAGUUUGCAAUCUGUGGUAGGUCUCAGAGUGGUGGCUAAUUGCUGCCAGUGUCCCCCGUGUCAUUGGCAGACAUCUGUGGGGAGGGCCCUGGCUGUACAAGGACACCCCAAUGCCAUUGCAUGGACUGACUCACAUUUAGUCAAUCCAGCAUUGGUGGGCAGGUCCUCACGUUCACCGGGUCCAGGCUAAAUCAGUUUGGUGCCAGAGUAAUUUAGUUCCCACCCCCGCACCAUGAUGAAUUUUCCUCUGAGAGGCCCAUGCAGAGCUCACGCUCAGGUUGUUUGUGGUGACGGUUUCUACAAAGAUGUGAGCUGACACAAGCACCCGUUUCACGUGCAGUUGCUCUUAACUGCAGUCCUCCUUCAUGCCACCCAUCCUUGUGCCAGCCCACGUAAAAUAAGCUGCACUGUAGAUGCAAUUUCCAGUAGUGACAUUGAUAUGGUUUAACUCAAAUUUUGGGAAUCCGAGCUAAAAGAGAAUUGAUUCUUCAGAAACUGCAGGCUAUCCACCCCUGGAAAACAAGUGUUAGUAUUGGCUGUAUUGCCUUAGAGCAACAUCAUGGCUGCCCUUAGUUGUGCUGAGGGCAGCUGCCCCUCCGGUGAGGGACGCAGAUACUGGUAUUUGCUCUUUAUUCGCUAGUCCUGAAGCAAGCAUAUUUCAUCCAGAUCAGAAAAUCUGAAAUAUCAGUUUGUACUGCUGAUUGGCAGCUUUUGCUUCUGCAGUAAGUGCAUUAAUAACAGUGGAAUGUUUUUGUGGUUCAUCAGGAUGCUUUCCAAGCAGUCACCUUUGACUGAUCAGCAAGAACAGACCGUAUUCACACACGUGACUCUCUCAACCAUGUCAUUGCUGCUGUAAGUCAGAGAAGCUGUUGUCCCUACAGUCCACAAAAUUCAUAUGUUACCACAGCCCAUUUCCCAGCUUAUUCCAUGCUGCAGGACCAGUAGCCUAAUCUGUGUUGUGUUCCAGGAAGAGUGAGAGCAAGACUGAAAUGUUAUGAGUUGUUUGUUGCCUUUGCCAUCGCCAUGGUGAAAUGUCUUGGUGCAACCCGCAGAUGAGUGCGGGAAUUGGACCAUACUUUGUCUUAGAGAAGAACACUAAAAAUGUCGCAGGGGAAUAAGAAAAAAGGAGAACAAGCAGUGAGAAGAUUUGUCCUUAGAACUAGAAAAUAGGGCAAGGAUGAAUCUCAGACUGAAAAGAAACCCCACCACCUCCAGGCCCCAAAGACCUCCCUUGGUGGCCUCCAACAGACUCUGCAUGUGGCAUCAGCGCAGCAGCCCAAAAAACUCCAGGUCCUCUCCUCCCCUCUCCCUUGGGGCUCAGUGCAGGGGAGAUGGCACCUCCCUGUGCAGACCAGAUGCACCUCUCUUUUCCACUGGUGGGAUGUCCAGAUGCUCCCCCCACCUUCAGCCUCUGUCGGCCAUGGGGGGAUGUGCCACUUUCAGGGAGCCAGGUCAGUACAGAAUGAUCGAGGACACCCAGCCCUACUGGAACACCAUUGCCACCAUGGAGUCAAAUCCAGUUGUCAGCCAGUCACAAGCGGUGUUCCCCAGGGCUCAGUAUUGUGGCCAGUUCUAUUUAAUAUCUGUAUCAAUGAUCUGGAUGAGGUAGUUGAGUGCACCCUCAGUAAGUUUGCAGAUGACACCAAGUUGGGUGGGAAAGUUCAACUGCUGGAGGGUAGAAUGGCUCUGCAGAGGGAUCUGGACUGGCUGGAUUGAUGGGCUGAGGCCAGUUGUAUGAGGUUCAACAAGGCCAUGUAUGGGGUACUGCACCUGGAUCAUAACAACCCCAGGCAGCACUACAGGCUGGUGAAGGAUCUGGAGCAUGAAUCUUAUAAGGAGCAGCUGAGGGAACUGGGGCUGUUUAGCCUGGAGAAAAGGAGGCUGGAAGGAGACCUUAUUGAUGUCUACAGCUACCUGAAAGGAGGUUGUAGCAUGGAGGAUGUUGGUCUCUUCUCCCAAGUACCACGUGAUAGAACAAGAGGAAAUGGCCUCAAGUUGCACCAGGAGAGGUUUAGAUUGGAUAUCAGGAAAAAUUUAUUCCCGGAAAGGGUUGUCAAGCAUUGGAACAGGCUGCCCAGGGAAAUGGCUGAGUCACCAUCCCUAGAGGUGUUUAAAAAACACAUAGAUUAGGUUCUUAGGGGCAUGGUUUAGAAAUGGACUUGGGAGCAUUGAAUUAACAGUUGGAUUUGGUGAUCUUGAAGGUCUUUUACAACCAAAACAAUACUAUGAUCUCAUCCAGGGGAGAACAGGCACAGGAUGAGGAGAGGGCUGGAGCCCAGACACACGAGGACAAGUGGAGGGCAGUGCCUGCACCCAAGGGACAGCAGAAGUGCACAGGGGAUCAAUCCUGAGCAAAGGGGUCCUUCAUCCCCCAACUAGGUAUAAGGAAGAAAUUUUCUAUGACGAGGGUGGUCAAACACUGGUCCAGGUUGCCCAGAGAGGUGAUAGGUGCCCCAUUCCCAGAAACAUUCAGUGUCAGGUUGGGUGGGACUCUGAGCAACCUGAUCUAGUUGAAGAUAUCCCUAUUCACUGCAUGGGGGUUGGACUAGAUGACUUUAGAGGUCCCUUCCAACCCAAACUAUUCUAUGAUUCUAUGGCUGAUUUCCUUGCUUUGCCAUUAACUUCCACCAGAAAAGCAUAGGGUAUUCUAUUAAUAAUGCUACGAGGUUUGAACUUGGGAUCAUUUAAAAUACCAGUGUUCAUUCACCAUUAUUUUGUUGAAGCAAAGUAAACAGACAAGUCUUAAUUUGUGAAAUGGGCCAUCUGUUCCUAUACAAACUGCAUAAUAGAAUGCACAACUAUUUCAAUUAAUAUAGUAAGCCAUCUUUAAGCAAUGCACAUGAUUUUGUAUACGUUUUUGACUACAGAAGAUGUCAUUAUCCUUUGCUCUAAUUGCUCUUGAUUUUACCUCCUUAUCUUUUUAUUUAAAGAAAAGGAAUGACAACUUGUCUCAUUGAGAGCAAAGUUUGCUCAUAGAUGGAUCAGGAAUAAUUAGGCCAAAUAGUACUACAAACUCCAGCAGACAGGAUAUCUCCAUUACAGAGAGUUAUGUUGUCAUUUCUUUGACCAUCCUCCCAUCAAUCCAUCCAUCAACAAAUUAAAGUUGGCUAAAGAGCCACUUAUCUUGAGUGCUUUUUACCCUGAUCACUGUCAAUCUAAGUAAAUAAACAUUUUCCCUAGGUGGAGUUUACAUAUUUAACCAUGUUUCAGGAGACACUCCCCUUGCUACUUCUACAUCCAGCAAAUUGCACGUGCUCUUGCUGUUUCCUGAUUCACCUCACCCACACAUUGCACCUUCAUUAAAUGAGCCCUGGUCCCCCUGCCUCCCUUUGAUUUGUCUUUAAAGACAGGAUGACAAGGAUAAAGUUGCAUUAAAACUCACAGACUAAAAAAUGUCUCUUAUUCACUGAGGCUGGAAAAAAACUGUUGUCCCAUGCAGGAUGCACAUCAAUAAUGGACCAAGUAUGUGAAAGAAAUAAAAAAUGAAAAGCAGAGCUUUAUCAGCAAACUUGCUUUGAGGAAUAUGGUAAUGCUACUGCAUCUGACUUUCAGCAUUUAAACCGUCAUACCAUCAGUGACUUUAGGGCUUCAUCAUGAACAUAAGCAGUGAUAUGAGCAGCAUUACGUUUUAUAUCUAAUAAAUAUGUAUGUGCCAGUGAAUACACUGUUAAAGAUAUUACUUUCUCCCUAUUAUUUAUUUUUCACUUAAUUGAUACAUAGAAUGGAUCGCACUCUGCCUACUGCCUAUCAGGCAGACGCAAAGGAAUAACGGUCUUAGUUAUUAGGAUUAAUGUAUGCCUAGUGCUUUUCAAAAGACAGUCACACACACACACAUGUAGAAGGGGUGACACUCCCCUCCUACCGAAGUCAAUAGGCUACGUACCAUUGCUGUCAGUAAUGAUGGGGGCUGUUCCCAAAGCUAACUGUAACUGGAUUAGAAUGACUGAGAACAAACGUACUGCUGUGGGCAAAGCUGGAGAGUUGUUAGGGAAGCAGGAGAUGAACAACAAGCUGAUAUUCCCUGUUGAUCAUUAAGGAUAACUUGCCUUUUCCUUUCAAAUACCUUGCAAACAUGACAGCUUGUUGGUACUGGCCAGGGACUGACACUUUCAGUUUUUGUGUUGCUGCUGCAUGGUCAGGACUGGAGCCCCAAGAGCAUUUGGGCACUUUGCAGCCCUGGUGUCCAGCUGUGUUGUGCAAGGCACAGUUCCAUGCACAGUGCCAUGGUCCCCCGUGCAGCCCUGGCGAGCUGGGCACAGCCAUGCCUGCUGGCCUGAGAACUCCCAAAAAUCCUGUCUGCUGCUUCAUGCCCCUUCAUCUGAUGUGGGAAGAGAUGUGUUCCUAUAGCCACAAAACAAACAUGUCUCAGUUGCUAGAUUUUCCUGCAAUGAAGGCAGAACAUGAGAAAAUCUUUUGUAGUGGCAACAAGUCUGUUGGAUAAUGCCAUACUGAUUUUAGUGGAAAAUGUCUGAUCCCCACUUGAAGCCAAAGCAGACCCCAAGUAGCAUCUCUUCUCUUUUACCUGCAAUGUAGUUGAUGUUAAACAUCUCAGUGCUCACAGGCUUUUCUCUUUGAUGUAGUCAAAGCAGAAGCAAAGGAAGGUUUGGCUUUCCUACAGGGCUUUUCCCAAGUGCAGAUAUAUCUCCUGAGACUACAACUCUGAAACGGCCAUUCCAGAUUUUGGUGCAUACCUGUUCCCCUGCUUGCUCAACCUGCCCCAUGCGUGCUCAAUCUGUACGGAGAGGCUUCAUAGAGACUCACUGGAGAGGCUGUGCACCCUGUGACAAUUUGUCAAAGGUGGGCAAGGGUACAGCUGUUCUGUAAAAGUCAUCACGGACAGUCUUAUGGAAGAGGACAACUCAGCAAGAGCACCUUCCCCAUGGACUGCAAUAGAGCAGACAGUGUAAGUAAGUAGCAUAACCUUUCCUUAUGCCCAUCUCUCCUCCUACUGCCUGGUCUUCUCAGGAGCUCAAGGCGGGAGAUUACUGUAACAUGAUGAAAAAAGAUGCAACUUUUCUGCCCUUUUAGUAGACACAGUAAGCAAGAGAUGCUUUCCUUUCCCUGCCAAAAUAACUCACUUCUUCUGCCUGGACAAACAAAGGGGACUAGAUAAGUGAUUUAUACUCCUAAUAUUUUGAUCAAACCCCACCACAAAUUUUGUCCCUCAAACACAAUUAUAAAACUGCUCUAAAUCUGUUCCUGCUGAGUUCAGCAGUUGAACUGCAAGGUGUCCUGCCCUGGACAGCAUCCACACCCCCUGCCCAAUGGCCCCGUGGGCAGGAGACAACGUGUCCCUGCCCCAUGAGGCUGUGUGCAAUAUAUCUGUCCAUAAGCACAGGGGAGAGAGAGUUAAGUAUGCAGGAGCAAAGAGGUUGUUUACAGAUUGAGGAUGCAGGCAGAGCUCAAGGAGGAGGUGCAUUUUGCUCACCCCCUCUCCAACAUUUGUGGGGACAGUGGCAAAUGUCCCCACUGCAGCUUGCUGUCCUGGGGCUAUUCCCUGGCACUUGCUGCUCUCAUCCUGGAGAAGAGCCUGCGCCUCACUUUGCCCAGAGGAAAAUGCUUCCCAUCUUGAGGAUCUUGGCAAGAUACCUGAGGUGCCUCAUCACAUCCCAUGCGUUUCAGUAAUGACAAGAUGCCACCCGAUGCUUGGCUCACACUGCCCGCCUGCUCUUUAAAUCUCAGCCGCCUCUUCUGCACUGAUAUUCCGACCAAGCUCUUCAAAUGCAAGUGUGGAUGGCGUCUUGCUUGUCGCUAAAGAGGCCCUCAGCAGAAGUCAAAGGUGGGUAAGAUGGCUGAACUGAUGUUGCAGGAGUGUCCUCCAUCUUUUAGCGCUUGAUUUCCUCAUCUUAACUCUGCAUAAACACUACUUCUUUGCAUUUAUUUAUACUAAAGUUUAAGUGCCUGUGCAAAUUAUAGCACAGACAGCCAGAACAGAAAUGAGGCAUUUAAAUGGUAAAUAAACACUGCCUGUGCCUGGUGGUGCUUUUAUAAAUAAUAUCCCCUUUUAAGCCUUAUUCUCUGCCAUACAGUCAUGUCACUUUUCAGAACAUCUGAACCCACAAACAUCAUACAUCAAUCUCUUUAUAUGCUUAUUUAAAGAGCAUAUCAAACUAUUUCUAUAAGCAGAAGGACUAAAUUAUCCAUGAAUUCCAGAUAACCAACCUUAACCCAGAAAAUGUCAACAGUUUUCUAUAACAGUCCCAAACAUGGCAGCUGUAGUGCUUGGAGUACCUCUCUUAGGAGUGGCCGAGCCAUGCAUUGCUGGGAGCAUACUCACCACCGAGCAUGUUCUGGUUUUGUAUUCCAGAUAUUAGAUACUGUGCUCCACACAUUUCUCUGCCAUUGCAGUUGUGUGGUGCCUUUUCUGCCUUGUCUGUGCGGUGUUUUUCCUCUAAGGGGGGGAAUUUUCAGUGAACCCAUCCCCUAGCCCUGGAGAAACUCUUGGCAAGCAGGUGCUCAGAGAGGUGCUGCUGGAGCAGAGGCAUGUCAAGCAGACUGUGGGGCGGGGGGCUCUUGGAGCAAUAUGAUUUCUCUGUCCCCCAAGGGAAGGGGGGAGAUUAAAGUGCUCAUCUUCACUAUUUCUUCUUGCAACUUGCAGAAACCAGUCAUGGUUGGAGGCUCCCACCCUCACCACUCCAUUUAUUAGCACAGUACACCCUGGUUGUAAAUUUAGUCCUGUAGCAAAUCCUGGUUGGCUUUUACUGUUGUCCACUAGAACACAAAGUAACAGAAAACCUUUCACCUUGCUUUUCUCCUUUAACUCCCGAGCUUCUUUGCAUGAGCUCUGAAUUUAGAGCCAUGUUCCUGAUGGUUUUUAUUGCAAUGUUUACAACAUAGAUCUAUAAACCUCUAGUAAAUUCUGCUUGGUAAGCUUGUAAUGACUACUGCCCACAACUAUCUAACAGGGAGACAUGCAGGUUUGCACCGGAAACAUUUUAGUGAGGAUACAGGUGGUUCAUGUACACAUUCUCAGCUAUUGAACUGGGUACCAUUUCAAAUAACAAACCUCUAUGGAUAAAUUCAGACUGAUAUGGAAGCACUGACCUUAGAGAAAUCUGUUUCUCAGUCCCAUAUUUUGGGCACAGAUAAAAACAUCAUACAAUCUAUACAGUUACGUUUGCUCUGACGUAUAUGCAGAACCUUCUCUGUAGUUAGCAGGGAAGUGUGUGUUUAUAGUAUGUGUGCGAGUGGGAAGGAAAAAACAGGCAACAUUUUUAACUACUGUCCAGAGGCAUAACAAGUCAUGUAGCACAGUCAUUUCCAGCCUUCGCUUUCGAGGAGUGAAACUGGAAACAGACUGCAGUGUUUGAUCUUUCCUGAGCUCCCAAACUGCACAGCUUAUUGAGGACCAUCCCUAAUUUGCUUUGAUUUCCUGCCCACCCCAUACUCUGGUAAAAAUAUGUGACUUAAAUUCCCAGUGACAAGAUGAUGCAGGUGUUUUACUAAUAUGAACUAAGUAGCCAGAAAAAAAUUCAUCCAAAUCGCUCAUAAAGUUGAUGAGAGACUAGGGAGCUUUGUUACUUUCCACCCAGCCAGUCCCCAUGGUGGAGGCAGCCUUGGAGGUGGGGAGGUCAGUGCUGUGGCACAGCAGUUGCUGACUUCAAUGUAGACCCAACCUUCCAUGGCACGUCUCACACUGACAACCACUCCUCUUGGCAGCCCAGGCUCAGAUGGGAAUGGACAGAGAGGCAGAAACACAUCAGAACACAUCAUUGAGAGAUGUUUCCAAGCAGUCCCCAGAUGUGUUUACAAGUUGCUGUGGGGAAGAUGGUGUUGCUCUCAGCCCAUGGUACCUGUCCCGUGGCUGCGUAGCAGGUGUCACGGUCCAAACUUGUCAACUUGACAAGAAUUUGCCUUCUCUAAAAUUUUAACAGACAUGGCAAAUGCAAACUGCGAAUUCUUUUCAGCAUGGCAGUAGUAGGUCUUUUUUGGUCUCAUAAUCAGAACAUGGUGGUGUGAUUUAUUGUAGGUGCAGUUUUGCCAUCAUACUCUAAGAUGCAAAACUGAGAAAAAAAUUGAAUACUGUGCGAAAAAGACUGAGGCAAAACACAUGAGCGUUAUACAGUAUCCUCCUAAUGUGGUCUCUCAGAGUGGAUAAUAAUAUAAACAUUCAUCCAUUAGAAAAAAACGACCCUUUACUGCCCCCCAUUAAAUACAUUGGCAGUCCUAUUAAAAUACAAGUCAGAUUUGUGUUUAAUGAUCUUGAAAGGAAAGUAAUUGCUUGAGUAUUACCAUUCAAAUGUUCUUACAGCAGCAUAUAAUAUUUACAGUCUAAGCGUCACUUCUGAGAGCUAUGUGGCACUGGAGAUUGCCCACCCUCUUCAGAGAGAGAGCCUCUGUGGCUGAGAACCAGGGUACAAACACGACAUGCUCUCUGAGCGCUGUGAAGCCUGUGAGAAACAGCCAAGCAAUAGGCUCCAUCAGUUAUCAGUUUUAAUAAGCUCUUGAAAGAAAAAAAGUCUUUCAAAAACCCUCCAACCCUGCAAAGGCAGAGCUUGAACAGCACAAAUCCUUGCUCAGGUGAGGACUUUUGGUGUUACAUGAGUCAAGCUCCUUGCUUUGCAAGCAUCAGGUGCCAGCAUCAAGCACAAAGUCAUAGUAAGAACUGUCAUAUUUUGCUCUGCAUUUUUAACCCUGACUGUGUCUUAGUGAAAACAUCAGAGAUGUUUGUAUUCAACUACUAUAUAUGUUUUUGUGGGAAUACCCUCAAAUCAAAGCUCAUUUUGACUAAGGAAGAGGGGAAUGUGAAAAUAAAAAGGAAAUAAAAAUUUGUUUAUUAUGUUUAUUUGUACAAGUCUAUCAAGUGUAAACACGGAGAGUAUUUCAUAAAGCACAUAGCAAGAGUGCCACAAAGAAUAUCAGAACAAUUCCAGUGGGAGAAAGUAAGUUCCCAGUCCUUUUUUCCUUUUCUUAUCUGUCUUGCCUGUCAAGGUCUUGGGCCCUCAGGCUUCAAGAGUGAUGUCAAACUCCUGGGCUUGUUGUCAGUGCCGCGCUGCCACCUCACCCGGGGGUGUAAAACUGCUUGGCCAGGUCUGGCCCUUGCUCUGUUCUUGUACAGGGUGUAGCAUGGGGAGGCCACAGUCACUGCUAAGACUCUUGUGCCCACCUAUAAGCAAGAUUAAUUAAAAAAAUACUAACAAAUUCAAAAUGUCUAGGGCAUUGCAUUUUGUUGGACAUGCUGGUUCUGAGAGUGACAAUCCUGCCAGAGUGAAUUAGCUUUUACAGCUCAGAUGCCACUGUCAGAUGCCAUCCCAAGCAGGGAGGACAGCAAGGAUGUGAUCUGAACAGAGGCAGACAAGAUGCAGUCAAGCACCAAUGCAUACUAAUCAAACUCGUACCAUGGGCCAGAUAUUAAUGGAAGGUUCUAUAAUCACUUUAUUAUUUGCAAUGGUUAAUGUUUCUGUAAGGGAGCAGAUUAUAUAGUUCACCUUAUUUAUAUGCACUUAACUGACGAAUUAUUCCCUCUAUCAGGAGAUGUUCUUCCUUGCAGAGCGUGGUUUUGGUCUCUAUCUCAGCAGUUGUGAAGUGGUGGUUCAAACAGCCCAGACAUGGUGAUCUUGAUUCCCUUUUACACAGAGACUGUCUUAGUUCACUCUCCUGAUUCAAAAGACCUGUAAAGCAAGUACAAAGGUAGUUCCUGUUCCUGCUAAAUCCCUGAGCAAUGCCAGGAGCCUUAGUGCAAGAAUGAAAUUUGAAAUCUCUGCAAGUCCUGUGAAGUGAACCUCUUCAUGAGAAAACACAGAGAAAGAGAAAGAGAGAGAACGAGGAAAACUGAAAACAUUUGCAGUUUAUGCAAACCAUAAUUGCAAAGAAGAGCAAACGGACCCUUCAAGUAACCAGGGGCAUGCACCCAUCGUUGAAGGCCUGAGCAUCACUACAUAUGUGUGUAUAAACCAAGACCUCAUGCUUGCCCAUGGCAGCCUAGCUGUGUGCCAUGCAGAAAUGGCUUUGCAAGUCAAUGUACUGACCUAAGAACUGCAAAUCAACAACCAAGUCUGCCCCACUUCCCUCUGCAUAUUAGUAUAUUUUUGGAUCAGGAUGCUCGAAAAGCCCAAAAUAGGAGUAGUGUUUUACCUGAUCCUCUUCAAUCUUCCACCAGCAAACUGAAAAAUUUGACUAUGCUGAGAUAUCUGGGAUUCAGCUGAGCUCCUCAUUAUAGUUUUCUGAUUCCCUUAUUAGUGUCCUUUAAAUUUCAAGUUGGAACAGAUCAAGUACAAUCAACAAACCCAGAAAAAAAAUGCACCUAUGCAAUUUUAACAUGACUCGCCUCCACUUCAGGCCAACUAAAUAGUACAUCUGGACUACACAACACGUUUCUCUUGAGAACCUGAACAAAGCUCUUGUGUUCUUGUUGCAGUUGGGACUGGGUGUUAUUCAGGCUUGAUGACCAACUGGUGGUGCUAAUGCUUCAUUGGAUGGGAGGUGAAGGAGGGUUCAUUACCUCUCACUCAAUAUGUACAUGCAUUACACCAACCCUCUGAAAAUUACAAAGUAGCUUUCACCAGCCUUGCAAUUAAAGGAUCCAGCUUGAGUUUAAAAAGACACUUGCAGGAAACAGUUACACACAUGUAUUCCAAAAUCUAAUAUGGCAGCACUUUAGUCAUAAGAGCUUCGAGGAACAGCUACUUGCCCAGGAUACUUGAUGUUCAGUUCUUAGUCCUUACAAUUAAGGGUUUGUGGUUUUGUUCUUUUUUUUUUUUUUUUUUUUUUUGUAUCUAUAAUAUAACAUUUAUCACCUGGGAGAGGUUUUAUAUAUUAACUUGUCUGCCGAGGACUAUGAAGUAGUAAAGCACCAAGUGAGAAAAGCCCAGGUUUGAGGGAUAGUUAGCCACAGUCAGAGAAAACCAGCCUGGUAGGUAAAGAACAGUCUGAGCCUUGGUGGGUGGGCAAAGCUCCAGACCCAAAUGUCACUCCAUGUUCCAGGCAGCACAGUCAUUGACUGCAACAGAAACAGACUCCAAGAAUUGCAGGAGUGUAGGGAAAAAACAAACCAAACCAAACAAACAAACAAAAAUCCUGAACGCCUGUUGCUUUCAUUUAUUCAAGUAAGUGAUACUCCUUUUAAAAAAGCCAAGGUACCAUCAUUCAUAUUCAGUAGAGGUUCUUUACUCUCAUGGAGCUUUGUAUUUGGUGACAUUUUGCAGCUCUGUCCCCUAGGCAUUGCACUCAAAGUCACCUGUAACAACCAGGUCAGUGACAAGUUGUGCAAAGGAUUGUCCUGUUGCCCAGAGAGGAGAUGGAAGGAACUGAGACAUUUUCUUUUGCAGCAUCCAGACUGUGAGAGGAAAACCCCUUUUCACACCAGCUGUGACCUGUGAGGACACUUUCUUGGAGAGGCUGAACAUGAGCUUCUCAGAGUAACAGCGAGCAGUGGAAGAGGGGACCCCUGGUGUGAUACGGUGACAGAUGGUUUGUGAAAUUUCAGGACAAGGCAGUGCAGCUGCUGGGAGAUGCUGUCUUGCUAGCAAAGGCAACUGAAGCAAAGAGGGAACUGAACUUCAUCUGCUGACAUUCACUGGCCAAGGAUCAAAUUAUUUUGUUUGAAUUGUGCUUAUGCAAGAAACUGCUCAGACGUACAGAUGUGGCACAGGCCCUUGGAGAAGCUGUAACGAGUGUCUACCACUCACCAGGGUAAAGUAUCAGUUCAAAAAAACCUCAGAGCUUUCUGAAUAAACAGCAAGCACACCUAUCUGCUGUGGUUACUAAGCAAGAGGACCCAGGUCUUCAGUUCAUGUAAGUUGGGGUGGCUCAAUCGAGUUCGGUGCAGCUUUAUAUUUAUAUCCCUAUGUUCUACAUGUGGUAGAAAUGUCAUUGUGUUUAAUUUCAUCAUGGUGUUUUCCCUGUAUUCAACUGGGCUAGAGGUUAAGUAUUUAGUUUUCGGUAUACACAACUAAAUCCUUUUAAACUCAAGCCAGGGGUUCAAAAUAUCAGAACAGAGUCAUAAAGAGAUAAAGAGAAGAAUAAAAAUCAGAUAGUUAAAAAAUGAUGUAAGGUAGAGUCUUAAUUUUUUAUUAUUAAAUUCACAGCACAUUAAAUAUUAACUGAUCAUAAACUUUGUUUUGUGCAAUGAUAAAUUAAUAAUAUCUACAUAGACAUGUUCUUUUACAACAGGGAAGCUAAGAAACAUAGUACCAGAGGACCUUGUGUUGACAACUGAAGCUAUUAGAAUAGACUCUUUAAUCUUCAAUCAUAAAAAGUAGAUAAUGUUAUUUCUUAUUACUAUUAAAUGUAGAGUGCCUGACUAGGAAACGUAUAUGUCAUUACUAAAAAUAACUACCGAAGAAUGUUAUGAGCGAGGAAGAAAAAGAUGUUAGCAAAUUAUAUCUUAAGUUCAGUUAAAUGUUCUCUGCUAAUUUCCACCAUAUAAGAAUAGAUUUUCAACUCAUUCCUCUAUUAGCCUAUAACAGGUUGCAUAAGGUUGAUGUCUGAGCACAGAAAGUCAUAGUUUAACAUGGUAUAUUGUACUUUUGACAAUAGUUACCAAUUGCAAAUGCCCCAAAAUGCAGACUGGUGUGUAUGCUUUCUGCAUCACUGAAAAACCUCUGCCGACCUUGCUUGGGGAAGGGAUGAUGAACCUUGUUUUUUACUUCUUGUCUGUGAACUGUGAACAAUGCUUCCCUGAUUAAAACCAGGGGAUUUUAGUAACUUUUGUCCAGGAUUUAGCAACACCAUUCAUUCAAAUGUUUCCUGUGGUUCAUAAAUUAUAUUGAGGAAGGAGUAUCUUCCAGGACAGUCUUCUCAAAGACUAAUACCUUGUCUGCAGACCAGGCCAUGGAGAUAUAUUUCAGAAUUAAAUGUAGCCUAGAUGAAGGAAUUAUGGGGUUUUUAAGUAUUUAUACAUGAUCUAGCCAGCAGACCCAUCCGCUGGUUACUGGUAUAGCUACGAGUACAUGGAGAGGUCUUUGAAGACAGGAACCUGCAGGAGCCCCUUCACCAGGACAGUUGUGCAGCUGGUAAAGAGCAGUUUCAAGCAUCUCAAAUCCACAGUGAACCCUCUUUGAGCAAGGGGUAGGACAAAACAUUGAUUUGCAUGAACACACACUGAUUUUUGAGUCCUGAUACUUUAAAUAUUUUUUUCCAAACUAGAGUCAAAGAAGACUCAUUUAAGAUGUCUAUGAGCUAUUUUGAAUGGACAAACCAAACCGUUACCUUUGACACAUUUUUGCCUUCAAAAUGUGUGUAGUGUCUCCUGUGUUUGCUUUCAGUGUCUCAGCCCCUGACCCUGCAUUUUGUCUGGCUGGGGCCAGCGCUGGCCCCUCUGCAGUGACAAUGCAGGGACAGGCACUCAGCCACCUCCACCCCAGGAGCACGCUAGGGGUCUUGUGCAACUCCUGCCCCAGCUUUUUUUCUCUCGUGAUCCUGAAUCAGAAGCUUGGGUUAGGAUGGGCUGGGAGCAACACGUGCUCUCGUUGUCUGUUUUUAACAGGCGUAUGGUCUGCCCUAGCCAGCUGAUGGGAACUAGGACAUGCAGAGUGGUGCAUCCUCCUCAUUCAGCUGCUGCCAUGGUCUCAGAGCCAGCUGGAGCGUUAAGGAGCCGAGCAGCUCCCUGCCAGCCCAGCUCCCAGGGCCAGCUUUAGGCGCAGGCGAAAUGGGCAGUUGCCUGGAGAGGCAGGCUGGUGGAGGCAGCGAAACUGCAGCCGGGAGAGGACAAGCUAUGCCCUGGGGUGCAGCAGCAGCUGCUACUCCCUGACAGGCUUCCCCGGACCCCUGCUCCCUGCAGCACAGCCCCUUCUCAUCUUUCUCCCCAGUGACGGGGGCUCUGGCUGCUUGCCUGCAGCCCUGCCCUUGCUCUGUCUUGCUCAGGGCCAGCCUUGCCACUGGGACUCCUGUUUCGUGCUCUCCCUUGCAGCCACAGCAGGGACUGUCAGUGGCCCAUGAUUACCCCUCUUUGGUGCCAGGCUUCCUCCUCCUGGAUUCUACCUCCCUAAAAGCAUUCCCAGACCUGUGCAUCGAACCCAGGGGACACCCACCUGCGCUGCAUUAGAUGCAAAGCCUAAAAGCAGAGGCAAGAGCAAAGACAGUGGGGAAGGAGGCUAGGCUCUGCUGCCUGUUUCAAGAAGUUCUUUCAGAGUCUCGGCAUUUGCUCUUGCACAGUGAGGGUGUUCACCGGUGAGAGCUCAUCCCCACCUGCACAGCCAGUGCCAGGCUCUGUGGGUGCUGCUUUGGGAAGGUGAACCUGAGGUGGUUGGCACAUCCCAUCAUCGUGCUCAGCCCCUCCAAGCCCCACGCUGCUUCACAGAUAUCAUCUGCCGAAAGACACCUGCAGAACACUGCCACAUAUCAAUCCCUCUCUUAUGUGCUUCAUAACCUGCUUUUGGUAACAGAAAUGGAGAAUGACAAGGGGCUGGUGCCUGCUCUGUGUGUCAGCCAGGAGACACUGCUUUUUUUGUUAUCUUAAAGAACAGGGAGAAAACACCCCUGAGCAAGCACAUCAGUGUUCCAGCCUUCCAGCUGGGCAUCACGGACAUGUCAAAAUUGCAACCAGGGCUGCCAAAGCACUGCAGGCACACCCUGGUCAAGGACAGCCUGGUGUCAGCUGCCCAGUGACCUGGGGGCACAACCCUUAAACUGGAUGAGCCUGACCAUGUGGGUGCCCAUGCAGAUGGGCUGGAUGUAGGCUACAGAUAGGCAGUGUUGUUGGAAAGUGCCUUCAUAAAAUACAAUGAUUUUGGGGGACACCUAGAGAAAGCAUAAAAAAAAAGGUCUCAAGCUGAUAGGCAUUAGUGACAGAGAAGGCAAAUGAGUUAUCCAAGCAGCUAAUGGGGUUUAAAUGGGAUAACCCCAGGCUGACAGUAGCAGAUACCAUCAGUGAGACACCUGGUCAGGAAUACCUGUACUGCACAGCACGAGCAUUAUUGGCUCAGCAUGAACUAGAAGAGGCACGAUGCAGGCUAGCAGGAUUAGUGGAGACCUCCACCUGGCUGAGUUUAGGGUAAGCUCCUCAGCAUUUAGUCCCAGGGUAGUUUAAAUAGUUUUCUGCUUAAGGGAUUGGUUCUGAAAAUCCCUUGCUUAAGCACUUAACUACAGGUUGGCUUGUUGGCACAGACCAGCCUCAUUCACUUUGCACGUUCCCAAAGGCAAUGGCUUUGCAGAGGGCUGGGAGCGCUCUGAUGUGGGCUACCUGCAGAAGCCAGCUCCAUGUCACUCCUUUUGGGCUCCUUCAAGAUCUGUGCCGGCAGCCAUCCAGCGAGCUGGAGUCCCACUGCACUGGGCAGCGUAGACAUCACCGGGGCUCAACCGCACCAAAACAACCAGCGAGGGGCUGUGCUGCUGCGGGGCAGGUGGCUGCUCCUCACCGCUGUCUCCCAGAAGGGCUACUGCCAAAUUAUACCUUCCCAACACUUCAUCAAGCAGCUCUGUGGCUUUUUCCCCCCAUUUAUUUUUGAGUUUUGAACUAGUCCGGCUUUCUGUUAUGCACUUCCAAUAUAUGGCAUUGCUUUGUCUUUAUAUUUAUUUUCAUUAUAAACCUAUUCUAGCUGGACCCUUCCAAAGGAGCUAAACUGUAUAGGCAACAAGCUUUUUGUCUGUAUACUUGAGAGUCAUUUGGUCAAGUAAAGCUGCUGUAUGUAAACGUCACAUUCACUGCAUAACAAUUGGAGUGAUGUUUUUAUGCACGGGGCUUUUUAUUUUCCAAUCAACAGCCCUGAGUUGGGACUUUCAGGGUAAACUGGUAGCUCUGGGCAGCUUUGAAGCAUCACAAGUGGAGGGUUUUGUCUCUAGAAGAUUUACUAGCAGCAAUCUUUUCUUCAACCGUUUUAUUAGCCUCCUUUUACAUAUGUAUAGCGGUGAGGGGAAAAAACCUGUUGUUGGUGAAGUACAGAGCCUAUUUCCCCUGUGGUAUUCACACAAAAAAAUUGUGUGAAAAAUUGUUGUUCAGGGCCUCCCCAAAUCCUGAAAUUUAGCUUAACCCCAUGAGGUUUUCAAACACUUCAAGCCUUCUCUAACCCCACCCCCAUCCCUCUUUUAAAGGUUGAAGCUGGGGUAACAAAUUCAGUGGUGAGAAUGGAUGCCCUGCCCUUGGCUUCAGCUGGCGCUGCCAGGGUAAAUCUGGGCCCCCUGGCCAAACUGCUAAAAAGUUUUCACCCGCUUAACACGGGUUUUAUAAUUUUAACUUGCAAGUUCUUGUUGAAUCGAGCCCUGUUGCGUGGACAAAUUGGACAAGAAAAGUUUAAAUGUUACCACUUUGGCUUCUCCUCAAGUGGUGCUGAGCACAGAUGUUUGCGGGGGCCAUCAUGUCCCUAUAAGAAUGGGGGCUUUGUGUGCAUAACCUUACAAAGGGCAGAAUAGCCCUGCUUUGCUGCCAGCCACAGGAUCAUCCUAUCUUUAUGUGUUGAUUUAUUAGGCCAGGGAUGAAUGAAACCGUAAUUAAUAUUACUGAAGCAUUAGAGUCUAUUUAAUUUAAAUGCCACUGAAUAUUUCACUUUCAGUUGGGAGUGACAAUGUGUUCAGGACUGUUGGUGAAAGCCUCAGCCAUCUGUUACCCCUACUAAGAAGGAAAGACAAGAGAGACACAGGGAGACAGAGAGCAUUGAGCUUUGUGGCUUUACCAAGCCUCCAGGAUCAUCAUUCAACUCAAGGGCAGCCAAGAAACAUUCCUGCGCAUUGGACCCCUUGUGUAUAGGGGAAAGACCUGAAAGGGUAUAGGGGCAACGCAUCUCCCCAAAGGAUGGAGAGAGAGGGAGAUGGAGGCAGAAAGAUAGAGAUUUACAGUACGUACAUAUGCACAUACAUAUAUAGAAGUGUGUGUGCAUUGAAAUCAAGUGCCAAGGCAGUAGAAGGAGUGUAGAGAAGGAAAGGGGCCAACUCACAGAUGGUCUAAAAAUAUUUGUAAAAGGUGGGAGGAGGUAAAAGUCAAGGCAAGGUUUGAAUGUUGAUUUUAAUUAGCCUAAGCACUAAGUUUCAGUCCAGCUCCACCGCAGCGAACAUCCAGGCUUUGAUUUGACGGGCAUCGUGAUGUUGGGAGCACAAGACAUUCCUUACGAACUGCUGCUGCAACAUUGGCUCCACCAAGCUAAAACAAAAAAACAGGGAAAAAAAGAAAGGACAGCAGCAUAGGCAGCAGCUUUGAUCCCUGAGAAAUGCUGUGCAGCAUCACCUUUGCUCCCGUGGUGACUUGGGGGACGUGGUGGGUCCCCAGGCAGAGCAAGGGGCCAGAUGCUGGGGCAGGAGGGGCGUGCUGGUGCCGGGACCAAGCACAGGAGAUGGUGGAGCAGGCGGCUGCACAAGGCCACGAGUGGGAGGCUCCGUCCUCCGUGGGAUGGUAAUUAACACAGUGGGUUUUCUUAUAAUUGGGAUCAUUUGUUCUCCCAGUUUUUCUCCUGCGAACUGAUUUCAUGCCAGAGGGAAGCUGUGUGACUCACACCUUGCCAUGCCAAUUAGCUGAUAAACAUCAAAUGUAAACAAAGAUGGCCUAAUUAAGACUAGUCGCCCAACCUCUACAUGCAUCUUGUCAAAAUCCCACCAGCUUUUUUCAUCCAGAUUUAUUUUCUUGUUUGCUGGGACUAAAUUAGCAGCUUUGCACAGGAACCACUUAUCUUUGAGAGAAGCUUAGAGCAGGUAAUGAGGAGAAUUGGUAACCAGGCGCAGGAGUGAUGUCACCCCCUCCAUCUCUGUAGGGACAGACGGGGCAAGUGCCACCGCCAAGCCCCACACCAGGGCUGGGGGCAGGGAUUUUUUCCUCCACUGGGUAAUGCUGGGGACUGGUGUCUGACCCAGCAGCUGCAUCCUGGGGUAUUCACUCAAUUUGUCUUCCCAAGUGCGUGUCUUCCCAAGUCUGUACGUGAAAUCUGUAAUGUGUGUGUCUCCUGCCGCUCUCACCUGCUGUGAAAAUUCAUCAAUCAGAGCCCAUCACUUACCGUGGGCCCGUCCCCUCCGGCUCACAGCCUGGGGAGUUAUUUGCACUUUGGAGAGGAGGUGUACGACACCGACACAUCUGAGCAGCAGCGUUUCACACCCACUUCGCACUGGAGCAAAGGAUCACACAGGUGAGCUGUGGCAGAGAAACAAGCCCAUGGAGAAAAUGUUAUUCCAGGAGGUAUCCUAAUGAAGUCUGUACGAUUGCUUCAUGCAGAAAUAAAAAAAAAAAAAAAAAAAAACACCAAAAUACAAAACCCACAAACACGAAGGGAUCUCAGUGGGUCAUCUGGACCAUUUCUGUGCCCGUAGACAAGAUCCCCUGGGUCCCUACAGCUCCCAUGGCUCACCACAGCUGCCUGUCCUGGCAUCUUGUUGGCUUCAGUGUCAGGGCAGACUUGCUUUGGGUUUGAACUGAAUCUCUUUGCUGCACACUAAGCCCAUUUGCUCCUGUCCUACCCAGAAUGAAAACAGAGAGCAAGUCCUUCCCCUCAAUUUUGUGACCACCUUUAAUGUACUUGAAGGUUGUAACGAUCUCUUCCCUCCAGCAACUUCUCUUUUAAGCUUAGCAACCCCAGUUCAUUCAUCUGUUCCUCAUAAGCUGUAUUUUCCAGUUCUUUCAACAUUUUCUCUGCUCACUUCUGAUGUGUCUCCAAGCAUCUCUGUUGAUCCACAAGUGCAGUGUCCAAAUGAGAGCAUGGCAUCUGUCUGGCUGUGCUUUACGCCAUUCCUGAAUGCAGCACCCUCGUUCCUCCUGCAUUGCACCUUGCUUCAUCCAGCCCAGCAUGGUCCUCCUGAAUGCCAUCCCACCUCCCUACGUACCACUGGUCCUCUUUGCUUUGGGUCACCUGAGACUGUAAGUAGGUAACAUCAGUUCCACAAUCCAGGGCAGGCAUGACAAUUUAGCACUGGCUGGUUGCAAGGAUGACCAUCCUCAAGCCCACCUCACUGUCAGUCCAAAGUGGCAUUGGAUUAGCUACUAGUGUCUUGCUGUUGCUGUGGUUUGUCAGCAUCUUUUACAUUAGCUUCAUCCAAACCAUAUUGUCCAACCUCACUUAAGAAAGCAUCAUGUGAAGUGCUGCCUUCCUAAAGUGAGAGAAAACUAGAGGCAGGGAUACAUCCACCGCAUCUGUCUGCAUGACAGGACUCCCUCCAUUAUAGAAAAUAACUGGAGUGGUUUAACACAGUUUGUUCUUGACAAAUCCCCAUCGGUAGCUACUGCUCUGGGUGUUUACAGACAGUUGUAUGAUUAUUUGCUCCAUCACUUUCAUGGAGUUGAAAUUGGGUUGCUUUGUCUAAAACUCACGGGUGCCUCUUUUCCCAGUGUACAGGUCCUCUACAAGCGCUCGCUGAAAACUGCUAAUGGCUCUGAGCAUGCUUUGGGCUCUUCAUUAACCAUCCCAGGCAGCUGGGGAAUAACCUCUCACACCAUGUCGAUGACAGCGAUAAGGCGCUGUUGAUGCUUCCCUGCUUCCCACAAAAGAUUACAGGAAAUAACUUUGAGAAGUUACCUGUUCUGAUUUAGUCUUAAUGAACUGGCGUCUUGUUCAUCCACACCUAAGAAAGGCACGUACUUCUUCGAGAGGGGGCAGCGAUUAGUUAUGUCUCAUGCUCACCAGCGGGUACCCAUCUUUCUUACCACCAGUUGCACAGUUUGUGUCAGCAUCUCUCUCAGUGAUGAGGUUUGUUGAAAGAAAAGCAGGAAAGGCAAACACAACACAAUUGCAAAGGGUGACCAGUCACAGCCGGUGUCAGUGGUGUUUCUUUCGCAAUCCCCUGCUUGGAGAUGUUCCAGGAAUGAGCAUGGACUCUCGCCACUCGUUUGACCGGGUUUGGGAAUUGGGACUAGAUGUAUCAGGUCUUUAUAAAGAGGGACAACACGAAAGAUAAAUUUAACUCUGAGAUCAUUUAUUUAAAGAACCUUAAAGCCGAAACCCAGAUUUUUGAAAGUUCUUGUCUGGCUUGCAAAUUGUUCUCCCAAAUGUUGAGUGCUGGGCACUGCUUUCCAGCGGAGGCAGGAAGGACAUGUUGGUACCUGGCUGGAGGAGUCAGCGAAGCAGCUUCAAACCAAACUGCUGCUGCCCUGAUUGGUGCAAAUGUACAAAAAACAAGUGCAGAAAUAUGUUUUGCACUACAGGUGUGGGUGUACCCACAGCUCACAUCAGUGUAGGGGUACUUACAGCACAGAAAUGAAGGUACGGAGCUACCUCAGCUGUUUUAACAGAUAAGUCACCUAGUACAUAGUAAGAGAACAAUUUCAUGGCUAUUCAAUAGUCUGUCAGGGUUCUGGGGAAGACAGAUCACAAUAACACAUGAAGCAGACCCUUGUUGGUGGUGCCAGCAGGAAGUUUUUAUAUUCUGUGAACUUAUUAUUGUUUAAAACAUUCUGAAAAGAGUUUACCAGCUAAUCAGCAAAGUAACAUAUUAUAAUUAUGCCAGAUGACAAAGCAUUUCGCGUGUAUGAGUUUCUCUGCUGGCAGGGCUCAAAACAACGUGUAGCCUCGUAACUUUUUAAAUUCCAGUCAGAUCCCACACGCUCUCCCCACCGGCCUCCAGCUGACUCAUCCUUUUCAGAAUAUUUCUUUUCAUUACUGUGUCUGUAGGCUGCACAUCCCGGAGCCAGAGCCAGAUCAAGCUGGUACUAGCCAGUGCGGUGAUCCCGCGUUUCUCUAUGGUGGUCUCAUCAGUUUCUGCUGAAUUUCAGCUUUCACUAAAAAGGAAUACAAAACAUAAAAAAAAAGCCACAAGCCCUCUAGGAACCAGGAGCAAGCUUGUGACUGUGGCCCCAUGGAAGACUGCUUAACCAAAACCAUAGGGAAAAAGAAACUUUGGGAAGGUGUGAUUGAACCUCAGAGGGGACCUGACUGAACCACAGAGGGGACCUGCAGCAGGUCCUGACAGCAGUGGUGGCAGUAUCACCUCUCCAUCCCCACCUGCAUGGCUGGGGCACAUGACUGGGGAUGCUGGAGGGGAGAUGACUUGCUCAUAUUUACAAAUCAGGCUGCUGCAACCUGGUGCAAAACCCCACGCUGGUGUCCCUGCCCUGGAGUGCCACGGCAGGAGCAGCCCCUGGGACACAUCGGUGUCCAUUGCAGUGAGGCUGUGGUCCCUGCACCUGCCCGGCACAGCCGCUCUGCACCAACGCCCUUUCUCCACAUGAGAACCGAAGGGAAAUCAAUGCUCAUCAUCCAUAAAAGCACCAUGUUUGCAAUUCCAUAUAAAGGCAUGAAAGCCCCUUUUCACACCAGGGAUUUGGCAUCACAAAAUAAAAAACCUGGAGGUGAAUUUCUGGGAGAGGAGCAGAAAACAAGCGACAUCCUGAAGUGAGAGUUUUUCAGGACGCACCAGCGUAAGGAAACUGCGUGUGGAGGCGCUGAGCCCAGACCCAAGCAGACCCCAUAUUCUCAGCCACGGGAAACAGCAUGGAGGAAACCCAGAAGCACUGCACAGGGAGAGGCCUGACAGAAUGAUUUCUCUCUUUAUGAUCUGAAAAGGAAACUCUGACCCAUUUUUUUCCAAAAGCAGUAUUAAAAAAGACAGAACAACGUGAUGUAAGCAACACAAUAGGGGCCAUCUUUGGAUUAAACAGUCGCUAUUCCAAACCUCCCAGCUACUUCCCAUGUUCACAGGCUGACAAAAGCCAUGAAGAAGGUGUGUGGUUUGGCAUGAUAAAGUCUUUUACAUACAAAGGGUGCAGGAGGAGUGUUAUUUUUGCGAGGUUUACAAACAAAACCAAGAGGUUGAAAGCAAGCUAUGAAAUAAAACUGGAGCAAAACCAUCACAAAAUAUGAAAACAAAAAUCCCUGCCAGUGAGCACAGCUUGGUGUUAUGCAGAAGGAAAUCCUUCUCACUGGCAUGGGAAUUGCAGCCCAUUCCCACCUCAGGGGUCUGCAUUUUCGGACAGGUUUAGCCCCUCUCUGGAGAAGGGGCACAGCCGAUGGGCCAUUGACUAAAAUCCCCGCUGCCUCGGGCUCCUGUUCACAGCCCGCUUGCCUUUAAUAUUGACAUGCUCACACUUGGCGGUAUUAUUCGGAGCUUUGGGUCUGAUGAUCAUAUUUAUAUGGCUGACACCCAGCCCUACUUGCCUAUUCCUGCGGAUUCCCAUGAAGUGCUGUCAUGGCUUAUUACCUGUCUAUCUGCACUUCAAGCCUGGGUGACUUUUAAUUUUUUGAAGCUUAAUGCUGGGAAAACAGAAUCACUUCAGACUGGUUCAGUUCACCUCCUUGAAGUAAGGAUUUAUGGUAUAUAAUACUGUAUUACACACAGCUCGGGAGCUGGUUUCACUGUUAGGCUCUUUAAAAUGGCCUUAUUUUAUCUGAAAUAAAGCAUAUCAGCGAGAGGAGAGAAGGGAAAAUAUCUUCAUCAGAUUUUGGAAGCUUCUGCGGCUUUUGUUGCACGUUGCUUGUCAGGCUGAGGAGCCCUUGUUCAUGCCUUGGUCUAAUCCAGAGUUGUGUAUCGUAGCUCUGUGAUAAUUGGAAACUCUUCUCACUCCGGCAUUUUCAGCUGUUGUAAAAGUCUGCAGCUAAUGUCAUAACAAGAAUUAAACUGUCUCAUCAUAUUACACCCGUCUUAGCUGACUUCGUUGGCUAUUAAGGUGACAGCGCAUUGAUUUAAAAUUUGUGUUAAUUGUUUACCUCUUCUUGCAGAGGCUUUACUGGGCUUUUUGUAGCAACCUGCAGGCUUUCCGUAGCUGUGGAUUAUCUUUGUGUUUAGCUUUCUAUGGACUUACAAAAAAAUAUCCUCUUUGUUUGGAUCACACCACGUAAUACUCUCAUCCCAUGGAUUUCUUUGGCACAUAUAUUCUCUGCAUGGGUCGCUUUUAAAAAUAAGCUAGUGGAGAGGGUAUGGCUAGCUUAGAUGGUACAAAACUUUAAGAGACGUUUUUGCCUCUCUGAUUGUUAUUUGUUUUGGUUGCCUUCAGUUUGUCUGAUUACUAAUAGCAGGGGUGUUGUUGUAGAUAAACAAAUGUACUUGGUCUGCCUACAAAACCUUUCACUUUGCAGGUUUAAUAGAGAAAGUGGCUUGUAGCCCACCCCUGCAAAACAGACCUUACAGCCCAUCAUCUUCAGGUUCCCAUUUUUGGGGUGAAUAAAUGGAGCCCCGUGUAAGCCCAUAGUAAGAAACUUUUUUACCUAGCGUUGAGAAGGGAAAUUGCUUUGUGCCAUAUGCUGUCUCUCUGGCACAAAAUGAGCAUCGCCUCCACAGGAGUUUGGCACACUUAGUGGUUGCAGGGCUGGCAAAUAAGGGACUUUUUUCUAUUUUUCCAUUAUCUAGCUCUCCACAUCCAUAAACAAUGUAUCUAUCCACAGAUAUUUGGAAAAAAAAAACAUUUAUUUUCUCCAAGACUGAGAAUUUUAUUUACUCCCUUCACUGAGGGCUGAAACAUUUCUCACCUUCUGCUCCACUUUGUUGUACUUUCUCCCACUGAAGAAAUUAAUGAAUGGGAAGUGGGAAGAUGUCAACUUGCCUUAACAAAAAAAAUUUUCUAAUUAAGGCAAAAAAGUAAGUAAUCAAGUAAGUAAUAAAUAUUGAUUUGUGAGUUUAAAAUCCCAUUAAUUAUUCCAGAGGCUUGAAUCAGACCUUAGGCUCAUUCUUGGAACAUGACCUCAGCUAAUAGACUUCUUCCUAAGGAGACCUGCUCUGCCUUCCCUGGGCAAGAAGUGCUAAUUGCAUAACCAGCCCUGCCCUCGCCCCAUCUCCCACUAGUUCUUUUUUCAGUUUUUAGUUAAAAAAAUGAACUUGUGCAUGAGCUGCAACCAGAUUUUAAAAGUCUCUAACGGCCGGUACAUUUUACACAGUUUAUAGCUUAUAAACAUGACUGAAAACUGCAAAACUAUUACUGGCUAUUUGAGUUCCCAGCCUUUAUUCCUGGGGAAAAGCAAAGUCUCCCAACUGUCAUUAGAGAGCACUUCAUUAGCAAAAAAAAAAAGCAACCAAACAUCCACUAUUUAUAUUUUGAGCAGAAAAGCGCCACUCACUUGCAUGAAUAAAGCAUGUGCUUUCACCGGACGUUGCUGGUUGUUCCCUGAGCACCAGCGGCCUCAGCCAGCGCCGGCACCCAGGCAUGACAGAGCCUCCCAAACCGAGAGGGAUUUGCUGUAAUAGCUCCAGCAACAAGUGCAGCUGCCGGAUGGUGCUGAGUGCCACCGGGGUGCUCUCGCCAUUAGAGCAGUGCCAGUGAGGUUGUCUAUAUUUAAUGUGAAGUUCUCUGCCUUUGAAGAGCGUUUCUUGGUGCACGAUAACCGCUCUUUAAAAGCCUUUUGUUUCAUUCCUGUUUUGAUGAACUUCUUUCCCUUUGAUGUUCAUCUGGAGUUUAAUCGCGAUAAAACGCGCACAAUGGUUAGAUUGUGGAAGAGAAAAAGGUGCUGGGAGAGCACAAUACCGUGUAUUAUCUGCUGUCUCCCCUAUGCCGCUCACUUGGCAGGCGGCAGCGAGCGCUGCAGUGAGAGAGAACAGGGGUGACAGCCCCAGAGCCCUGGACUGUAGCCGGCUCCUGCCACAGUGACAGCUGAAUCUGAGCUCACAACAGAGGAUUGGGCACAACCAGGACCCUGUGGGGUCUGUCCCAGUUUGGGGCAUCCUCUCCAAAGUUCUUCUCUGUCCUCGAAGAGUGAUGGCCAACCUCAGCAUGUGGCACUACAUGGGCAGGAUGAGUUCCAGCUCCCUCACUACACAUCAACGUCCCACAUCAGCUUCUCCCACAUCUCACAUCUGCCUCCAGCAUGGGAAAGUUCGAGGACACCCUCUGAAGCACUGGGGUGCUCCUGGCACAGGGUAAUGCUCCAGCACAAACACCAGCCUCCUGCCAAGCUGCCAGUGCCACUGGCUCUUGGGAGUUUUCAGGACCCAGGUGGAAGUUGCUGCUGUUGGGGUCCAGCUCUCAGUGUCAGGCUCUUCUGUGAGCAGCUCAGUUUUCUUUGAGAGGUAUAUUUCCAGUCCAUCCAACUUGGGUGGAAACCUCAAAAACACAGGAGUCAGAAGGAACCCCUGAAUGUGCUGGUUGUAUAGUUUUUCCACAAUUUUAAAACAGGGAAUUCCAGAAGGCAAGGUGGGGCAGCAGUCACCAUGGCUGGUCCAGGCAGCAUCGUGCCCACAGGGCAGUGCUCACUUGGGUGUGUUUCUCCCUGCCCAGACCCUCUGCAGGUUUGAAUCAAUGCCCUCACGGCCAUACAAAUUAUUCAUGCAUAUUAAUUCCUGGCACUACCCAUUUGCCCCCCAGCAGGGAACAUCUCCAUCACGGAGGUGCCCUGCAGUGCCUGGGAACUUCCAUGGCUGCACCCCCAAGCUCAGUGGGGACAGCAGACCAAGGUGACACGGUGACACCCCCAUGACUCAGCUAUCAGCCUUGCCACCUCCUAGCCCCAACCCUGCCCCUGGGCAAUUGCUGCUCUCAGCUGCGUCAUGGCACUUGCCAGCCUGGGUCACAUCUUGGAACAUGCCAUUUUGGGUCAAAUCACAACUCAGAGUAUGCUGACCCACCUCAGGACAUACCUAUCCCGGUCACACUCUGUCCUUAUGAUGGGCAGCACCACAAGGAUGGGGUGCAAAUUCUGUGCCCUCGCAUGCUGGGCACAUCCCUAGUGCUACCUUAUACCCCAGCCCCCACUUUGGUUGCCACAGUCCCAGACCCUCAAGGGCAGGUGCAGUAUAUAUUUGGGAUAUUUUUGGGCAGCACCAACACAAUAAGCCACUUUCUGGAAAGCUCCUUGCAACAUUUGGUAGCCUGAACCAGAAACAAGCCUCACGUGCCUUUUCCCAGGGAUGGCUGAGAUGGGUCUUGCUGUUCAAACACGGUUCUGGAUUCAGGAUGGGGUCUCGCAAGGACACAUGUCUGUCCUGCCUGAUCUAUCCCACUGUCUGCAGACACCCCCUGUGCAAAAUAAGGACAGAAUCCUAAUGAAUCCAUAUAUAAUGUCAUUUCUCCUUAGAUGGCCUCUGCUACCAACAGCUGGCUCUGAAUUGUUUCCUUAGGAGAAAAUUGUGCUUAGAUCUUCUGCAGAUAUCACUUCUUACCCGAAUACAAGUUUAAGGGGUUUUAAGUAUUCAUCAAAUUGCAGAGUUUGGGAAUCACCCAUUUUUCAUAUUUUCACUUGGAUUUUUAACCUUAUCUUAUGACAUCUGUAAAAACUGCUGGUCUGACCUACUUAGUGAAGUCAAAGACACUGGAGAUUAAACUGAGCGAUCCAGCUCAACACAUACUUGUAACUUCAAGGUCCUGACAGAAUUCGUUAGUUUAAAAACUAAUUAAUCAUUUCUUGCUCUUGAAAAACUAAUUGUAAAUUUGCACUGAAAAAAAAAAAAAAACACCUUUGUGUUUGCCUAAGAAGGUAAAAUCUGUAAGGCCAAAUAACUGCACCUGAAAUGUAUACGAAGAUUUCUAACAGCACUGCAUGAUAACCAAUGCUAAUCUCUCUCAGUGUAGACCACUGUGUGCUACAGCCCCUGUAAAGCUGACCUUAACUGUGGUGAAAAAAUCCUCUUUUUUCUUUUUUUGAAUGCUUUCCACUGAAUCUCCAUUUCAAAUCCAGAAAGCAAACAAGUUGUAGCAGACCUUCUCUUGCAAAAUGAAUUUGUCAAGCUCUGUUGCGUUUUGCUGAAGUGUAAGAAACUUAAAUAAAAGUGAUCCUAAAGUUAAGAAGCUGGCUUCAGGGCAGAGACUAGUGAAAUAUCUGUGAAUAUAUUCUCUCUUCCUAAAGCUGGAGGUCUGGGUAGGUUUUCUUGUUGCCAGAGGAAAUAAUUAAUGAGUCUAAGACCUUUCUGAGACUGAUCUUUUCCCUUUCCUAUUGAACUAUGCAGCUAACAUUUCAAAAAUAUUUUGCAGAUAUGAGUGAAAAUAAUUUAGGAAAUCGGUUCAAAAUUUUGAGACAGUAUCUGGGAUUUUCUUUAUUCUGUUAUACUUUUUAUAUAUCUGUCAAGAUUUACAGCAAACAAAACCUGCCAAUGCUCAAUAGUUUACAGGAGCGUUUGUGCAGGACCUGAUCAAGAGUUUCUUCCCAUCCCAGGGACAUAAAGCUUCUCAAAAUCAAGCAUAAGGGUUCCAGAAUCAAACAACACCUUCUUGCCUUGAUUAAAAAAAUGCUUGCAGUGCAACGAUGUGUUUUCCUGGUAUUUGAUGCCUUGGUUUGUUCUUGGAAGAGCACAGCUGCACUAUUUAACCCUGCAUUUUUCUGGCUUUUAAUCCAUAUUAUGAACCUAUUGCCAAAGAGCCUUCCAAAAUUAUUGCAUGGCUGUGACCAUGGCAUUAGUGUUUGACAAGCAGUCACUGUCUGUCUAAUAUUUUUCUGUAUUUUUACCAUUUAAGUGCAAGAUGGAAGACAUUUUUGCUGCAUCUGAUCUGCACCGAAGCAACCUAUAUAAACUGCUGUUUAUAUUUGGCAGCCUUAUGCUGCCAUGUGGGAACUUACUUGCUUGUUUAGUUUUCAGUGACCCCUUCAGACACAGGCACAGACCUGCUCUGCCACGAUACCAGCUCUUGUGUACGUGAGGGUAUUCACAGACAUGCUUUGCUGGGCAAUCAAAUAUAAUUUUAAAACGUGCAAAAUUAAUGCAUGUGAUGUUUUAUUCCUGGUAAAAUCCACUUAGCAAAACUUCAGCAUUCUACUGAGUGAGAGAUUUCUGCUCAAAAAUGCAUUUCUGCGGUUUUCUCAAUUAAUUUCCUCAGGUGACUGAUUUAUCGAUGGCUGAAUAGUGGUUGAAAGACGAGUGCACACAAUCAACAUAAAUUACUAGUAUUAAGCGAGUGCCAGAUACUGGGAGUCUUUAUUAUUGUAGAGUAUCUCAUAUCAGUAUUUUUUUUUUCUUAUAACAUGAGAAAAAAGUUAUUUGCCAAACAGUACAAUUCAUUUCUAAGCUCUGAAAUGCAAGGGCUGCUUUGCUUUGUGGUUACCAUAAACUUGCAUUCCUUAGAUGUGAUAGAUGAAGAUUUUUCCUAACCAAAAAUCAGUUACAUCUAUAGAUGCCACUUCAUAAUUAAGAUACAGAUCCCUGAGCCUGCAAAGAUUCAGGUGGAGCCUUAACUCUGUGUACAGUGAGGAAGCUCAGAACUCCAGUGAAAUUCCUUGCAAAAACACAUGCAGAAUAUUUUUAGGAGCAGGGUCUGUAGAAGCAAACCCUCAAGGACCGUCACCACAUGGCAGCAAGAAUUGUCUGUCUCAAGGAAAGGAAAUUACAAAGGAAUAGUCCUGAAGCCCGACUGGGCCACCCUUGCACCAUCGGAGGUGGCCGCAGGUUUCAUCACAGGCUGAGGUGGACGGGCAGCACCUUGUGUCCAAACCAAACCCACGGCUGUGGGAUCCAUGAAGUGCCAACCUGGGGUGUGGGCAGGUGGACUGAAUAAAGCUCAGAACUCAGCAUUUCUUCCCUUUGCAUCCUUUGCCUCCAAGGAUUCGGGGCUCCGGAAAGUUUUCUGCUUUAAAGAGAGCUUGCCUUACAUUUUAGGGGAAAGGCAGAUCAUGCAAAUCGGAACUGGCUUAUGUAGCUGCUCCCUCUUGCUAAACAGCGUGUUUCUGUCCGUGUUUGCAUUUUUCUACCCCAUCUCCUUCCUGCAUAAUCUGUCAAUAUUGGGUUUCCUUUCAUUAGACUUUCUGCUCUCUUAGUGUCUAUUCUUCCUCGCUGAUGUUUUCUGCCUUCAACACUGCAUUUUUCAGUGGUUUGGUUUGAUUCAAACUGGAACUGUUAGGGUGGUAUCUAAUAUAAUCAAUUUGUUUGCAUGUAUUUACUGUAAAGCUCACUGUUUGUAUCAGCUUCAGUCUUUGGAUAAUAUUUCUGGGGAAAAUGUAACACUCUUUAAAUUUUAGAUCCUUUUUUUAAUCUUGCUUCAGGCAUAGGCUCUAAGAGACACGCAUGUAACAUAGAUGCUUGAUUUACUUCUCCAAAUAUGCAAAGAAUAUGGCUAUGUGCAAUAAACCUCGCUGAGAAUAGAGCUGGAUACAAGAAAAAAAAAUCAAUUAUCAAGCUGCUGUAAACUCCUUAUUAUCUAAGAAUUUCAACACCUACUGAUGUGCCUGAGUCUCCAUUGCACACUUGUGAAUUUAAGAGCCUGGGACAUACAAUUGUUCACGAACGCAAGCUGCGUGUUUGUGCACAAACUGCUCAACAGAUUUUGAAACAGCCAUCUGAGGAUGAUAUGGCUGUUAGUCAAAAUCUGACAGCAAAGGCGAUAUUUUUGUUUCAAAGGGGUUAUUCGGAAUGUGACUCAGAGAGAAAUCAUGCAGGAUACUGGGACUUCAUGAAAAAAACUUAGAAAAACACAUUGUUGUCUGGAAAACCUGGACAUCUGUGUGCAAAUUCUGCAAAAUUUGCAGUAUCUGAGACGUAUCUCUUCCCUUUACCUGCAAAUCAAGUGAUGUCUGCCUUAAAAUACUGAGCAGCACACAGGGGAAGGCAAUGCCUAAACUUCCAUCAGCCUCAGAGGGACUAAGCUUUAGUUUCUGGUUUUUGCAUCUAGGUGUAAAUCUGGCUUUGGGCUAUGAUGCACACUUCUGCCAGAUGUGGUUAGUGUUAAUCACAUGUUAUUUAGAUCAAUAUGGAUCUCUGUUUGAUGCAUGUAGCAAUUGCUCACUGCUCUGUAUUCUCUAACUCUUUGUAUUUAACAAUAUCGGUUCUAAAGAGCAAUUUAUACCCAGGCUACAUACCCCCUCGCUCCCCCAAACCCCAGUAUUAGUGGUAAAGUCCUACUGCUCAUAAAAUAUAACGUGAAAUAUUACAGUCCUGAAAUUUUUAGUGUACUCAUAGUCCCACUGAUUUCACUAUUAGUGGGAUUUUUCACAUCGCACUAUUUGGUAUUAACUGCCUGUGUGUAACUGGAGAAAUCAGCAGUGAAACAGCAGCAUCAAAUAUUUGAAAUGUACAUCUCCAGGAAAGGCUCUGUCUCCCUGUCCACAUACACACAUGCUUGUAUGUGUCUCCCCAUCCCAGUGCUUGAAUCAGAAAUAUAGGGUCGUUAUUGCAAAAACAUAUGUAGCACAGCAAUAUCACAAUCGAAUGUAUGCUCAGGCAUGUUGCAGGAGGUAGCGGCAAUUUACAGCCACAUCGAAUGCCAUGGUUUCAGCUUCCUUAAGAAGUAUUUCUCACACUAGAAAAUGUAAUUACCAUUCCACUGUGCCUUCCCACAUGGUGAUCUGAAACACUUCAGUAAAAUGAAGUGACCUAUCAAUACUAUAUCUGUCACAGAUGAGGCAUCUACAAAUACAGAUCAGUGUAAUCUGGUCAUUGAUUUUAGGAUUCUCAGUCCUCCAAGGUAUAUGACAAAUCUAUAUGUUGUCCCUGAGUGAUGGGGUUUGCUUUUGCAUUUCUGAUUUCAUCGGGGAACCCGUGUAAAAGUUAAUGUAAGCAGAGAGCACUCUGCUGCUGCCCAGCUGAGGAGGCUCAGGGUCCCACAAAACCCAGCUGUGGUGCACACCACUAAUUAACAGCCAGGUGCCUGUACUUCCCACAAACAAAGUGCAGACAGACCAACCUCAUUCUUAUGUUAAGGAAAAGGACAACCUUUUCAAUAUUUGUGAAAGUUCCUGCUUUGCCCCAGAUUUGCCUUGUUUUGAAAUCUGCUUGUAUUGUACAAAUGUAGGUACCAUUCCUGGUGGGGUUUGGUGAGGUGGUGAUGUGAAGGAAGCAUUUGGCUCCCAGUGCGAACCAGUAAAUCUUGGGUUUAAGUAUGGUCAUACAGAAAAAAUACUGUCCUGCUGUAUCUUUAUCUGGAGUUUGCGUGGGCAGUGUUAUCUCUUUGGCAUGCUUGCCCCAUAACAGAUUGUAUACAGACAAAUGUGUCCUUGAAACAAAAAGAGACAUUAUCUUCCUGAGAGGCCCAGAAAACUGAGGGGCUAUGUCUAUAGGUUUGUGAAUGCACACACACACAGAGUCCUCCGAACAAACACACUUAUACAAUGUUUUAUGUAACUGAACUUCGGUGCAAUGCAAACGUUUACAAGAAAUGGCUUGCAACUCGGUGGCUAAGGACAAGUGAAUAACUUGCAAGGAAAAGUUCCUAGCAUCUCAAAUGUUUCAGCUCUAAAUUAAUCAGAAAAUGUACGCAUGUAUAAAGAAAUGUUCAGAUUUCAGUUAAUCUUUAAAAUCUAACACACACAGAGACAAUGCAUUUAGGUAUUACACAGAAAAGCCGUGUAAUAAAAAUGCCUGGAACUACUACGAAUUUCCACAAAUACCCUGGAUAUUGUUCCCAGAGGCUACUCCUAUCAUUCUAAACACCACAGCAACUUCAAGUUUUCCCCACUUACUCUGAGAUUAAUAUAUCAAUACAUAUUCUCUCUUCACUCAAACUGUAAUCUAUUGCCAAACCUAACUGGCACUAACAUGUUCGCAGAGGUGCAGAACAGGCAGUUUUCCAGUCACUAUGUAGAGCCUGUGAUAUCUGACCGGCUACAGCUGAAGUUGCUACCACUGAGCAAGGUGUACCCCAAAUACAAUGCCCAACACAAGCAUGGAUUGAACACCUAAAUACUACAUCUUAAAAGCAUGCCAUCACUAUGCCCAGGAAUGUAAUUGUCAGCGUGUUUUGGAAGUGCUGCACUUGUUUCUGCUCUGCUUGGAGAGAGUAUUUUCUCACCCUUUGUUUGCUAUGAUAAUCGAGACAAUCUGUCUUUAAAACUGAAGAAAAAUUACAAUAUUCCAUCUAUACAGAUGUUUAGAACAAUUGCUUCACAAGGUGCAAGAGAACCUGACAGAAGGAUUUCCUGGUCACUUAGACUGGCCUGCAGAGCCAGGUUUUACCGCUGUGAAUCAUGAGGACAUUCCCAACUCAUGACCCUCCACAGACAACACCGGCUCAGAGAAACUCCAAGGAAUGAGCUCUUUUGUGCCAAAAAAAGGAAGUCUGACAUUACUCCAUCUACUCUACACCUCUGAAACUGCUAGUUUAUGCAACAUCGUUACUGCAUGAAAUACGAUUCACACGUGCACAGCAAUUGCGGCUGCAAGAUACGCUGUUAAAGAUGCAGACUCCUCCACAAUCCUCAUUUGCCGUCUGCUUUCAAUCCCUGCCUGACAUGCUGGGCAGACCCCCAAAACCAUGCAAUUCAUAUAUGAGACUGCACGUUCUACUCACUAAAUAGCUACAAGAACUCCCAUUUUUCCAGAAAAAGCUCAAUUUUAGAAAAAAAAAAAAAUGUGCUUAGUAUUGAUUGUGACAGAAGAAUAGAAAUAAAACCUGCGGUAUUCAGUUAUUGACAGAAACACCACUAUGCGCUGUGCCAGCUGUGAUUUCAGCCUGGUGACCGUAUCACGUGGACCUGGGAUUUUGUCCAUCAUAUCAGCAAGCUCUGGGUCAGACCUGUGAAAGCCAGAGCUGUAUAUAUGGCUCUAAUGUUAUAUCUGGUGAGUCUUGCAACUCAAAGAAAAGCACGUCUCACUUACUUGCCAUGUAAACAAGUACAGACCACAUCACCAAAAAGAGUCUGGGAUUUGCCCAGUAAAUCAACGAAACACCUGUAGUCUCUCACAUAUUUCACAAAGAAAUGUUUGUCCAGUUGCACGUUGUAUCCGUUCUGAAUAGUUACACAUGGGGCCAUAGGCAGAGAAAUACAAUCACAAAGAAACGAAGUAUUAUAGAAAUCUGUGUUCUAUUUCUAUCUCUUCCUUAUAUAAUAAAAAUAUUAUGUAUAUGGAUUUAUUUAAAUAGAUGUACAUUCUAUGUAGAAUAUAAAUAUAGAAUGUAAGUAUAACACAUAGCUAUAAAUAUAGAAUAUAAACCUUUAAGUAAGCCUAUACUCCAAAUCAAACCUGAUUUAAAAGCACUGUUGCAAUUUGGUGCAAAAGUUUUUGCUUGCUGAUAUGCAAAGACAUACAAAACCUUUCUGUAAAUAAGCAGUAUGAGCUUUUCAGAAGGUUCUAUAAUCUUAUAUUAACUAGUUGCAUUAUAUACAUAGGUUUUCCUAGAUAGUACACAUAAUUUUCACAGUAACAUCGUUUCUGAACCUGAAAUUAUUUUUCAUUUCUGAUAUGGAAUUUUGUCAACAGGGUCACUUUUAGAAAAGUAGGAAAUUAUAGGAAACACAGGCCUAAAAUUUGAACAAAUAGAGGAGUUUGCUCAUUUUAAAAUGAAAUUAGAGUCUGGGAGCUGUAAUGUCUUGUGCAUUAUAUCUGUGUAAUGAUACCUACUGACACUUGGUGAUCAUAAAUUAUAGUAUUACUGGAAAAGCAGGGUCAGCUGAUUAAGAGGCAGUCGAAGAGGUCUGUCCAAAUAACUACCUUCCUGACACGAGGGUCCCAAGAAGACACGAGGAGCGGUUCGUGUUCCUCCACUGCACAUAAGACAAAAUCCAGAAAUUCAUAUGGAAAUGGGUUAGACACCCCUCACAGGGGCUGGCGCUCCACCGAAGGAAAGGAAAAAAAGAGUGACACUAUUAACAGAGGGUGUGUGAAAGUGUGAAUGUAUCACCAAGGUUGGGUGCAAGGGGUGUGCGUGUGCGUUAAGCUGGUUUUGGUUUGUGCUGCAUCUUCUGGGGCCGAAAGCAGCUGGGCCAGGUCCCAUCCUGCUCAGCUAAGCAGAGGCACGCUGGAAACUGUGCCUGAGAAAGGGUGGAAGAGUGUCAGCCUUUGUGUCUAUGUGUGUGAGAGGGAAGCCAGAGACACGAUACGACCCCAUGUGCCUUCAGUCUGAGUAUUCGGGGUGCCCGUGCACCUGCUCCCACCAUCAGGAGGGUCUUGGGGGGUGCAGGUGCAAGCAGUUGCAGGCAAAAAAGGGGGAACUCCAAGCAACCUCACACCCAAAAGUCUCCUGUGUCCAAUUUCACCUUUGAGAGACCCCUGAAGGCAUCACAGACUGUAUUGUGGUUUGAAGGGGAGACAGCCUCACCCCCCACAUUAGGGCGCUGCCCGGAUUUUUGUUGUGCUUUUCCCACAGAGGUGGAGUUGGGAGAGGGGAAGACAAAACGUCCCAACUUAAUUUCUUUUUAAUGGUCUGAUGGAGCGUCUGACAUGUGAAUCCUCACUGUCCCUGCUCUCCAGCUUGGCUUCAAUGAUGGCUUUUAACAAACAGCCUUCCCCAGACAGGGAAAUUCUGUUACCUUGCCCAAACCUGCUCAAAUACUUUGAGCUCCCAGUUACACACUUAACACAGGAUUUUGGCAAAACGCGGGAGAGGCGCAUACUUUGAACUGGAGGUAGACUUAAAAACAGCCCCUUGAUCGUCAAUGAUGUCUUUAUCCACUGAACCAGAAUGGGGUUUCAUAAACCCUUACACCCACAAUUUCUAGGUCUCCUCCUGAUGUGUCAGCCAGCCUCUGCAAACCAAGUCAUUUUAGAAGAGUUCACACGCCUGUGUUCCUGCAGCCCUACAAUGUGCAUUAUAAGUAGCUUACCCAGAGCCAUCAGUGACCACAGAUUAGUGGGGCGAUAUUCCCUCUGGAAAUCUUUCAGCCUGCAUUGCCUUUCCCUCAUUACAGAGGCUAUCGGGUCUGCAUUGCUUUGCAUCUGCUCACCAAGGGGGCUUUGCAUUAACUCGACUUGGGGUUUCUGAGUUUUGCCUCUGAGCGGAUCAUGGACUGAACGGGAUGCUCAUUUCCAGCGCCUGGCAGGGGAGGGGAGCCCUGCCAUGCCAGCUAGGUGCCCCAGUGUCCCCAUGCCAGGGCUGGAUGCUGGGGCAAGGUGGGCUCCAUCCAAGUGUGUCCUUCACAGGGGCUUUGCUCCUUGUGAUCUCAGCCCAACGCACGAGUCCUAACUGGAAAUUAAAAGCCUGUCCCCUCCUAGUCUUUGAGGGUAAAUUUCAGAGGCUCCAGCAGUCGAUAAUUAACAACUUAUGUUGUUCCCCUCGCUGUUGCCCUAGCUGUGGUAUUUUUAAAGCUUUUUAUUAAAAAUUAAUUUCUUUAUUUUGUUGGAGACCCAUCACUCGGUCACGUGGCUCCCUGUCAUGUUUCUAUCCUUCCUACUCAUAUUCGAGUUAUGCCAUCAAGCUAAUAUAUUGUGACUGCUCUUCUCUCUUGUGACAAAGCCUUGCAGCUGCCUCCAAAUCAAUAGAUGUCAAAGAAAUAUGAAAACAAUCAUGACAGAGAACUUAAAUCCUGGCUAGAGUCUGCAUAAUAAAAAAUGUGCUUCUGUUCUCAAGGCAGCGGAUUAAUUUAUCCUAAAGUUUAGUCAAAUUUUAUUCCGGUACCUUUUUCCCAGCAGAUAGAGCUACAUCUGUUGGGUUUGUAAUGUAAUUUGUAAUUACUGCCCUUCAUGUGGUCCAAUGCCUUGAACCAUCUUUAAUUAAAAGCAUAAUUAAGGGAAGAUCUAAAGGAAGACAAUUACCAGAUGGUCUUUUUUUUAGAAACAGUUAGUUGCAUUGAGGAUGUAUCCUGGUCCAUUUCUGACUUGGAUUAAAAAGCAGACUGCCUCCUGCACAAUCUGCGAGGCGAGAGGCCGAAAGGGGCUCAGGCAUCCUGGGCAGCGCCACAGUCAAUAACUGUGAGCAAGGGCAGCAGGGGAUUUGGGGGGAUGACGGGGACCUUUGGGCAGAGGGUCACCCUGGCUCCAUUGCAUUUCCAGGGGCAGGUGAGUCCUGUUGCCCUCCUCCAGCCUUAAACUCUGGUAAAAACCACUCCAGCCAACCCCCCCACCACUGGGACACUCUGUAACAUCUAGAAAAUGUUUUCCUGGUGAAAAUAGUAAUUAAGAGUAGUACUGAUAAUGAUAACAAAAACAACAAUAAUAAUAAAAGAGAGACUAAGACUCCGAACAGCCUCCAAAAACAGAUUAUCACCGCUGCCCUGGGUGGGACAGACCCUGAUGUGGGGACUGUGUCUGCACAGCCCUUGGUCACCGCAGCCUGAGAGGGUGUUUCAGCUAAAGCCCUGUCAGGCUGCAGGACAGGGGCAUCUCCUCCACCACCCUGGCCUCGCUGGAGUCAGUUUUGGGGUCCCUCCUCACCUCUUGGGACACCCUCCUUGCAGAAGAACCUCCCCCCUCGCACCUGGGAGUUUCAAAGAAGACCAUUACUAAAGGAGAAAGGGCGGGAGGGGAUGGGAAAUAACCCCGGAAAAUAUGAAUAAUGCAACGAAGUACAGAAUUAUGCGUGAGCACAAAAUUUCUAGGGGAAGCUGGGCAUUAAAAAAAAAAAAAAAAAAAAAAAGAAAGAAAAAAAAAGGAAAAAAAGGAAACCUCGAGCAGUGGUGUAAUGUAAAUUAAAUUUUUGCUGUAUUACUAAGAUUUCAUUAUUUGACUGUUCCUACUCAAAGUAAGACAGCGAUGAAUCGUAAUCAUUUCAAUUAUCUUCAAGAUAGUUUCUUUAGGACACAAGUUGUCAAAGAUAAAAAAGUACAUUCUUGCUGCUCCAUGGGUCCAUUUUCCAGACGGUUUGUCGUUCUUGCUGCAUGAUUUAGUCGGGGCUUUUUUGCAUACUCCGGCUCUCCCACACGCCCUCCGCGGGGGCGCGGACCCGCUCCCUCCCCGCGCGGAGUGGCCGCGCAGGGCUCCGCGCCCGCGGAGGCGGCGGGGCUGCCCCUGUCCCAGCUCCCGCUUCGCCGCCGUUCUCUUCAAUUAACUUCGCACAACAGGUUUUUGGUUGAUUGGUUGGGUUUACCAUUUUUUCCUCUUAUUUUUCCUGCUACCCCUCUCUCGCUUCCCCCUGUCCCUGGAAUAUUUCCUGGCCCAUUACUCUAAUAAAGAAAUAAAUGCGGGGCGACCCGGGGCAGGAUCCGUCCCCAUCCCCGCAGCCCUACAAAUACUGUUUUCUCCCUGCUGAUAUGGGUUGAUUUGCAAGUGAGAGCUGCUCUCCACCGGGAUGGCGCUUAGGUCUCUUUAAGCACAAACCAAAUAACAUUUAAAUGUCUUUUUAGUGCCGAGGCAUUAUUUAUUUAAGUGGCCGUCGGAAAUCACAGCCACGCGGGUCCCAGCUCCUCCCGGAAUAUUGUCCUUGCCGUUUUAUUAGAACGACUGGUUUUAAAGAGACUCUUUCUGAAUAAAAGAGCGCGUUUCUCCCCAUUAUUCAUAUCUAGGGAGUCCCAGGCCUUUACUACAUUAAAAAAAGCUUCAAAAGGACAAUUCGCCAUCCACAGAUAUUAUAUUUGUGAAAUGUCCUUUUGUCGAAGCUUUUAACACCUUCUUAUAACGAAUCAUUUGUUCUUUUCUUUUUAAUUUUGAUAGACAAUUAGCCAUCAAAUAUACACCAGUUGACUGUAACCGAGCAUUAAACUAGCCUUUAUUUAACGCUAAUUUAGCAUAGCUGCUUUGUUUAACUUUGCCAUACAAGAACCAGGUUUUGUAGCAAAAAAAAAUAGGUGUAAUUUUAUGUGGGGCUUCAUUUCUUUUGGCCCUCUACACAGCAAGCCCUCUCCUCUUUGUAACCCAUUCUGCUGGGCAGAAACACCAUUUCGGAGUGCCUAGCACCUGGAGUCUGGAAAAAAUUAGCAUUGAUAUAGAUUUAGUUGAAAUGUAAUCUCUUAAAUCUGUCCAAGAUUCGGGGAGAUAAUUACACUUUCACUGAAUUGCCAGGGGUCAGCGUCUCUGUGGACCUGAGGAGUUGAUUUACUAACAAUAGUGUUACAUAAAAAAUGGUGUUUGAGAUUAUAAUGUUAAUAGAUGCAGUCACUGGGGAAAGCAGGCAGGCUACAACUAAUUCGAGGGAACUUGGUUUUUGCUUUACAAGGAUUCAAAUCACUUGCAGCAUUUAAUUUAGAGGAAUGAGUUUGGCAGUAAUUACAGCAAAUGGAAAGGUCGCCUUGGAAUAUUAGUUAUUUUUUCCUAAAUUGGGACUCGGGAUUUUGGGGGAAGGGUCCUUUUUCUAUGCCCCCGGCGAUGGCCGGGAGAGCCGCGUUGCUGCAGCAUUGCGCUUUUACCACUCGUCACAUCGGACCCAGCAAAAAUCCGCUCAGACAAAAGAACCGAGGACGAAAAAUAUUUGUAUAAGCUCUGGAGUUGGUCCUCGAGUGGAAUCCGGCGGUUUUUAGGGGGAGUCAGGAUUUCUUUCUGCUCCUGGGGGAUGCUGGCCAGGCUCGCCGGCCCGGACCGGGUCAGCAUGUCCUCGGGCAAAGGGCAUCACGUCUUCGGUGGAAAUGGUCGGGAGUUUCGUUGGGGGGACGCGACCGGACCAGGCUGGGUCGGGGGCACAGCUUACUCAGAAAUGACCUGACGGGGACCAGAUGGUCCAAAUUCGGACACUUGCCCAGCUCACCGUUCCCAGUACCCGGCAGAGCACGCUGCACGUUUGGGCACCCUGGAACCUCCAGCCCAAAAUCAAGUCCCUGUAUCACGAUGACCCCCCACUCGGGAAGUCCCCCUCUUCUGCAGGACCGCGGGAUUCCCUGCUGCGACCCCCGGACCGGGCUGGGGACACCGCGGUCAAGAGUGGCCAUGGGGAGCUGAGAGACAGGGCCGCCCCCGGGGGAGCGGGGCUGGUGCCGGGUGUGGGUCCCAGACACGGCCUUGCCACCCCCAAAGGGGGUCCCAUGGGUGAUGUCUUCCUUCCCGCUUCCCGAGGGGUCCCUGCAGACCCGGCGGGUGGGGAAGAGGGAAAGCCCAAGCCGGCCCGGCCCGCUGCCGGCAGCCUGAUCGCUGGCCGCGCAGCGCGGGCGCGGCCGGGCGCGGAGGAGCGCGGAAUCCCUGAGCCACAUCCAUCCCCCCGCCGCCGACAGCCGCCGGGAGCCAUAAAUUCAAACCAAUUAAUUACCUACGGGACACACCGCCGGCCGACCGCGUUUUGCAGCCCGGGCUGAACGGGCGGCAGUUUAUCGCCGGAAAACCGGCACGCCGAGGGGUGAUGCGCUACCUGCGCCGGUGCCCCGCUCCGCCGCCCUCCGCGCUGCGGCCGCGCGGCGGUCGCGGACAAAGGCGGGCGGGAGCGGCCCCCGCCUGUUCGUCUCACCACCCGGCCCCGCUGCCCCGGGAGAGCCGGACCCGGGGGCAGGGGCUGCGGGGCGGUUGCGGGGCGGCUGCGGGGCCGCGGCUCCGGUGAGCGCCGGCAGCCCGGGCAGAGCCGGCGCCGCAGCCUCCCGCGGCCCCCCGACGCCCUCCGUCCCUGGCUGUUUACGUUUUAAGUCCACCCGAUCUUAUAUGUAACAGCAAUAUAUAUGUUAAUUGAAAACUUCUGAAUUUAAAAAGGUUGUGACAAGUUAUAAUUUGUCUUGUCAAUGUCUGGAAUCCUUGUUUAGCUCUUUAGUUGUGUCUGCUGCUCGUGCCUGUCAGAUAACAGCUUGCCUAACACGCUGCCUUCCUCUCUUAUGGCACGGAAAUGACAAAUGUGCUGUUUUAUCCAUACAAUUUAUUUCAUUAUUGUUGCCAGCACGAAGCAUCACAAUCAAUCAUAAGGAAGUCCAGUUGGCAGGUGUCAAUCUUGGUAUGUUUUUGUACGUCUCAGUCUAUAUUUAAUCCAAUUACAAGGGUCAUGGAGUAAGUGCAAAUCCCCUUGUUACAACUCACAUCUUAUUCAAGAUUUAAAGUAAAAAGUCAACUUGAUCACAUGGGCGCUUUGGGGGACCUCCGAUACCUUUUGAUAUGUCGUGUUCCCCUCCCAAAUUAUGCAGAGAUAGCGUUUUAUUAAAGAGUCGGUUGGGGUUUGAGGAUUUUUUUUU